rnacentral:rRNA from 1 species
CCUACGGGUGGCUGCAGUGGGGAAUAUUGCACAAUGGGGGAAACCCUGAUGCAGCGACGCCGCGUGAGUGAAGAAGUAUUUCGGUACGUAAAGCUCUAUCAGCAGGGAAGAAAAUGACGGUACCUGACCAAGAAGCCCCGGCUAACUACGUGCCAGCAGCCGCGGUAAUACGUAGGGGGCAAGCGUUAUCCGGAUUUACUGGGUGUAAAGGGAGCGUAGACGGCAGCGCAAGUCUGGAGUGAAAUGCCGGGGCCCAACCCCGGAACUGCUUUGGAAACUGUGCAGCUGGAGUGCAGGAGAGGUAAGCGGAAUUCCUAGUGUAGCGGUGAAAUGCGUAGAUAUUAGGAGGAACACCAGUGGCGAAGGCGGGUUCCUGGACAUUAACUGACGCUGAGGCACGAAGGCCAGGGGAGCGAAAGGGAUUAGAUACCCUUGUAGUC